ACUGGAUGUUCAGACGGUGCUCUUCCUCAGUGCUGCCUACGGAGGUGGCAGCUGUCUCCUACUCAGCACCAUGGCUGCCCUCAGACCCCUCGUGAAACCCAAGAUUGCCAAGAAGAGGACCAUGAAGUUCAUCCGGCACCAGUCAGACCAAUAUGUCAAAAUUAAGCAGAACUGGCGGAAACGCAGAGGCAUUGACAAUAAGGUGCGUAAAGAUUCAAGGGCCAGAUCUUGAAUAACAUUGGUUAUGGGAGCAACAAGAAAACAAAGCACAUGCUGCCUGUGGCUUUCGGAAGUUUCUAGCCAUAACGUCAAGGAGCUUGAAGUGCUGCUGAUGUGCAACAGAUCUCACUGUGCUGAGACUGCUCACAGCGUCUCCUCAAAGAACUGCAAAGCCAUUGUGGAAAGAGC